GUACGUGACCUGCGGCAUAUCAAUAAGCGGAGGAAUCCGUAGGUGAUCUGCGGCAUGUCAAUAAACGGAGGAAUCCGUAAGUACCCUUGCCUUAUAUCACUCAAAGUCUGAAAAUGUAUGUAAUUUAUAACAAAACAAAACUUUCAACAACGGAUCUCUUGGCUCUCGCAUCGAUGAAGAACGCAGCGAAAUGCGAUACGUAAUGUGAAUUGCAGAAUUCAGUGAAUCAUCGAAUCUUUGAACGCACCUUGCGCUCCUUGGUAUUCCGAGGAGCAUGCCUGUUUGAGUGUCAUGAAAUCUUCAACCCACCUCUUUCUUAGUGAAUCUGGUGGUGCUUGGUUUCUGAGCGCUGCUCUGCUUCGGCUUAGCUCGUUCGUAAUGCAUUAGCAUCCGCAACCGAACUUCGGAUUGACUUGGCGUAAUAGACUAUUCGCUGAGGAUUCUAGUUUACUAGAGCCGAGUUGGGUUAAAGGAAGCUCCUAAUCCUAAAGUCUAUUUUUUGAUUAGAUCUCAAAUCAGGUAGGACUACCCGCUGAACUUAAGCAUAUCAAUAAGCCGGAGGAANGAUCAGUAGGGAAUCUCGGACGUCCAACUUAACUUGGAAUCCGAACUCUCACUUUCUAACCCUGUGCAUCUGUUAAUUGGAAUAGUAGCUCUGCGGAGUGAACCACCAUUCAUUAUAACACAAAGUCUAUGAAUGUAUACAAUUUAUACAAACAAACUUUCACAACGGACUUGGGCUCUGCAUCGAUAAAAAGCACGAAUGCGAUACGUAUGUGAAUUGCAAAUCAUGAAUCACGAACUUGACGCACUGCGCUCUGGUAUUCAGAGCAGCGUUUGAGUGUCAGAAAUCUUCACCACUCUUCUAGUGAUCUGUGUGCUGGUUUCUGACGCUGCUCUGCUUCGCUACUGUGUAAGCAUACAUCGCACGAAUUGAAUGACUGGCUAAAAACAUCCUGAGAUCUGUUACUAAGCCAGUGGGUAAGGAGUCUAUCUAAGUCAUUUUUGAUAAUCUCAUCAGUGGAACCCCUGACUAAGCAUAAUAACCGAAGAA
rnacentral:rRNA from 1 species